rnacentral:rRNA from 1 species
UGCAGUCGAGCGGAUGACGGGAGCUUGCUCCUUGAUUCAGCGGCGGACGGGUGAGUAAUGCCUAGGAAUCUGCCUGGUAGUGGGGGACAACGUUUCGAAAGGAACGCUAAUACCGCAUACGUCCUACGGGAGAAAGCAGGGGACCUUCGGGCCUUGCGCUAUCAGAUGAGCCUAGGUCGGAUUAGCUAGUUGGUGGGGUAAUGGCUCACCAAGGCGACGAUCCGUAACUGGUCUGAGAGGAUGAUCAGUCACACUGGAACUGAGACACGGUCCAGACUCCUACGGGAGGCAGCAGUGGGGAAUAUUGGACAAUGGGCGAAAGCCUGAUCCAGCCAUGCCGCGUGUGUGAAGAAGGUCUUCGGAUUGUAAAGCACUUUAAGUUGGGAGGAAGGGCAGUAAGNUAAUACCUUGCUGUUUUGACGUUACCGACAGAAUAAGCACCGGCUAACUCUGUGCCAGCAGCCGCGGUAAUACAGAGGGUGCAAGCGUUAAUCGGAAUUACUGGGCGUAAAGCGCGCGUAGGUGGUUCGUUAAGUUGGAUGUGAAAGCCCCGGGCUCAACCUGGGAACUGCAUCCAAAACUGGCGAGCUAGAGUACGGUAGAGGGUGGUGGAAUUUCCUGUGUAGCGGUGA